GACAUCUGUUGUUUGAGUACAGAUUCAUUAUUUCUUUAAGUACAUUAGUGUAUGUGUGUGUUUGUGUGUAUAUUUUACACAAAUAUACAUAUAUGUAUGUGUAUACAUAUUAC
rnacentral:miRNA from 1 species